rnacentral:rRNA from 1 species
GAUGAACGCUGGCGGCGUGCUUAACACAUGCAAGUCGAACGGAAAGGCCCUGCUCUUGCUGGGUGCUCGUGUGGCGCACGGGUAAGUAACACGUGAGUAACCCGCCCUUGUCUUUGGGAUAUCUCCAGGAAACUGGGGCUAAUACCGGAUAGGAGCUCUUGAAGCAUGGUGGGGGUUGGAAAGAUUCGGCGGUUUGGGAUGGACUCGCGGGUUACCAGCUUGCUGGUGUGGUAGUGGCAUACCAAGGUUUCGACGGGUAGCCGGCCUGGGAGGGUGACCAGCCACCAUGGGACUGAGGGAGGGCCCAGACGGCUACGGGAGGCAGCAGUGGGGAAUAUUGCACAGUGGGCGGAAGCCUGAGGCAGCGACGCCGCGUUCGGGAUGACGGCCUUCGGGUUGUAAACCGCUUUGGACUGUGACGAAGCGUGAGUGACGGUAAUGGGUAAAAAAGCACCGGCUAACUACGUG